AUUAGACGAAUCAUCUGGAAAGAUGAAUCAAAGAAGGUAAUAAUCCUGUAGUCGAAAAUGUUGUCUCUCUUGAGUGGAUCCUGAGUACGACGGAGCACGUGAAAUUCCGUCGGAAUCUGGGAGGACCAUCUCCUAAGGCUAAAUACUCUCUAGUGACCGAUAGUGAACCAGUACCGUGAGGGAAAGGUGAAAAGCACCCCGGAAGGGGAGUGAAAUAGAACCUGAAACCGUGUGCUUACAAGUAGUCAGAGCCCGUUAAUGGGUGAUGGCGUGCCUUUUGUAGAAUGAACCGGCGAGUUACGAUUUGAUGCAAGGUUAAGCAGUAAAUGUGGAGCCGUAGCGAAAGCGAGUCUGAAUAGGGCGUUUAGUAUUUGGUCGUAGACCCGAAACCAGGUGAUCUACCCUUGGUCAGGUUGAAGUUCAGGUAACACUGAAUGGAGGACCGAACCGACUUACGUUGAAAAGUGAGCGGAUGAACUGAGGGUAGCGGAGAAAUUCCAAUCGAACCUGGAGAUAGCUGGUUCUC
rnacentral:rRNA from 1 species